rnacentral:misc_RNA from 2 species
CUGAGUGUAAAAACUCCCAAACCCCUGUGAACAUACCAUUUGUUGCUUCGGCGGGAUCGCCCCGGGCGCCUUUGCGUGCCCCGGAUCCAGGCGCCCGCCGGAGAACUCCAAACUCUUGUUUUUUAUAUGUGGUAUUAUCUGAGUGGCUUAUAGCAAAUAAAUCA